UCUUGCCCCAAAAAUACAUAACAAAUACAGAUUUGAGCCUCAAAGACGCCCAAAGGGCUUCGAACCAGCGACCUCUACAUGAAAUUGACGUUUCUGGUUUUCUUGGGAUGGUAUU